UUAUAAUUUCCAAUGGAAUCAAUCUAUCACCUGUCUAAUGGCUGCUGCGUUCUCACAUUUUGUGUGUGUUUAAAAUCAAAGUUUUCUUGUGAAUAACACGAUUUUGCAAAGUAUUGUUUAUUCUACGACAGUUGGAAAGUGUGAUUUAUCUUCUGCGGUGACAAAAAAUAGAUUUUGAGGGCGAUAAAGCUACGAAUUCCGAAGUCCACGUUCAGACCUGCCUGUGCGUCAUUUGCGACAGAAGACAGCCGUCUCCGCGCGUUAGAGAGAGACAGUCAUAUCUUUUUUUUUUAAGAACGUUAAAUGGCAACAACCUAUCUGUUAAUGCCAGAGACUGUAAUGAAGAUAAUUGGUGGGGAUUCUGAAGACAUUUGACUGGAGUAGAAGUGGAGUUUGGUGGUGCUCGGCUAGUGUUUUGAUGAGCUGCGCUCUUGUCGGUGGAGUCAUCAUCAUCAUCAGCCCAUUAACGUCCCCACUGCUGGGGCACGGGCCUUCCCUAUGGAUGGAUAGGGAGAUCGGGCCUUAAACCAUAACGCGGGCUCAGUGCGGAUUGAUGGUUACUCAAACACUGGUAAUGCAGCUGGGACCAACGGCUUAACUUGCCUUCUGAAGCACGGAGGAUCUCGAGAUGAAAACUUUUUUUGUGGUCACCCAUCCUAUGACUGGCCUUUGCGAAAGUCGGUUAACUUCAACAAUCGCAGACCGAGCGCGUUUACCGCUGCGCCACCGAGCUCCUUACUUAUUUGGUGUACUACAGGAUCACGGUGACUAAUGGCUUUGACUGUACACUUUGCAGACAAAACUGACAUCUGCAGUUACAUUAUUGUUGGUGACUCCAGUACACAGCAUCUAAUUUUAUUUUGUCAUACCUGUCAUUUUCUUAUCCGCCGAAAAAGAAAUCAUAAUCAUAUCAUUUAUUGCGUUCCACAUGGUAGGAGGUUGGUAAUAUAAGGUAAGUAACACAUACGGACCUGUAUUGGGCACAGCAAUUUAAAGGAGAGUUAAAGCAUAUUUUUUAGGCUUAAACAUAAUAAAUAAUAACAAGUAUACAUAAUUUAGACGUAAAACUAAAGUACUUAAACAACUAAUCAUUAAAAAACUCCUGCAGAGUAUAAAAACUUUUGUCCAUUAGAUACUGUUUUAAUUUUUUUUGAAUUGAUUUAUUUCGGUGAUGUCUUGCAAGGCUUUUGGAAUCUUAUUAUAUAUUUUAACAGACAUAGCGAAUGGACCUGAGAGAAUAAUUUGCAAUUUACUAAAAGGUUGGGCUAGUCUGGUCUGAAAGAGACGGGCAAU
rnacentral:misc_RNA from 1 species